CUGAGAUCAUGCCCUCACGGGUAGACCUCCCACCCUGUAUAUUAUACCUUUGUUGCUUUGGCAGGCCCGCCCCCCGGGGCACUCGGCUCCGGCUGAGCAGCGCCUGCCAGAGGACCCCAAACUCUGAAUGUUAGUGUCGUCUGAGUACUAUAUAAUAGUUA
rnacentral:misc_RNA from 1 species